GCCGGGAUGGCGGAAUGGCAGACGCAGAGGACUCAAAAUCCUCCGAGGUAACACUCGUGGGGGUUCGACCCCCCCUCCCGGCACCA
rnacentral:tRNA from 3 species